rnacentral:misc_RNA from 1 species
UAGAUUCAUUGCCAGGGAUGACCUGAAUGUGAAAUAUAAAACCACUAAAGAUAACUAAUUUCAAAGAAUAUCAGCAACAAACACUAAAUAUUUACCAAAAUAACAACCAUAUUCCAAAUGUCUGACUAAAAACUUGCAGAAGCAAGGAAAUAGAAGAAACAAAUGUUUCAACAAAUCAGACAGCAAUUGUCACCAAAAAAGUUGAAGGAACAUAAAUAUUUAAGCCUAAAAUGAAAAGUUUGACAAAUUCAAACUGUUAAAAUUCAUUACAAAAAUGGCCAACUAAGUGCAUUUUUUUUUUAAUCCCAAUAAUGAAAUUGAGGAGUAAGAACAAAUAUUGAUCAAUAUCUUUGACCGUAUUCCCAUUUCACAGCUCUCUUGUAAGAUUUUCAUUGAACAUCAUACAUUAAAUUUGGCACUUCUAACACUUACAGCAUAGUACGUACAAUGUUGUAAGUGUACCAUCAAGCAAAAACCUCGACCAUAAGAUUGAGCACACCUUGGUUUAUUCCAUAUAAAGCAAGUGACCCAACAAAGUAGAAAACUAUAAAUCACAUCCAGCAAGAAGGAAAACAUGAAAGAGAGUAUAUGCUUAAAUCAGUAGACGCUCCAUUGAAUGUAUAAAUUAAUUUGUCAACACAUGUCAAGUUAUAAUAAAAUAUAAAAAGAAUGAAUCCAUUAGGAAAAUUCUUUUAUCAAAA